GAUGAAGAACGCAGCGAAAUGCGAUAAGUAAUAUGAAUUGCAGAAUUCAGUGAAUCAUCGAAUCUUUGAACGCACAUUGCGCCCGCCAGCACUCUGGCGGGCAUGCCUGUUCGAGCGUCAUUUCAACCAUCAAGCCCCCAGGGGCUUGUGCUGGGGCCCUGCGGCUGCCCGCAGGCCCUGAAAACCAGUGGCGGGCUCGCUAGUCACACCGAGCGCAGUAGCACAUCUCGCUCAGGGCGUGCGGCGGGCUCCUGCCGUGAAACCCCCCACUGUAACCCCAAAGGUUGACCUCGGAUCAGGUAGGAAUACCCGCUGAACUUAAGCAUAUCAAUAAGCGGAGGA
rnacentral:misc_RNA from 1 species